rnacentral:rRNA from 1 species
GACGAACGCUGGCGGCGUGCUUAACACAUGCAAGUCGAACGGAAAGGCCCCUUCGGGGGUACUCGAGUGGCGAACGGGUGAGUAACACGUGAGUAACCUGCCCUUGACUUCGGGAUAACUUCAGGAAACUGGGGCUAAUACCGGAUAGGAAUCCUUGCUGCAUGGUGGGGGUUGGAAAGCUUCGGCGGUUUUGGAUGGACUCGCGGCUUAUCAGCUUGUUGGUGGGGUAGUGGCUUACCAAGGCUUUGACGGGUAGCCGGCCUGAGAGGGCGACCGGCCACAUUGGGACUGAGAUACGGCCCAGACUCCUACGGGAGGCAGCAGUGGGGAAUAUUGCACAAUGGGCGGAAGCCUGAUGCAGCAACGCCGCGUGCGGGAUGACGGCCUUCGGGUUGUAAACCGCUUUCAGCAGGGGCGAAGCCUGUGGUGACGGUACCUGCAGAAGAAGCACCGGCUAACUACGUG